rnacentral:rRNA from 1 species
AACAAACGCUGGCGGCGUGCCUAAUACAUGCAAGUCGAACGGGGAAAGCUUUCGGGUGAGUACUAGUGGCGCACGGGUGAGGAACGCGUGGAUAAUCUGCCUUAGAGUGGGGGAUAACUAGUCGAAAGAUUAGCUAAUACCGCAUAAGACCACAGGAGCUGCGGCUCAAGGGGUCAAAGGUUUUUCGCUCUAAGAUGAGUCCGCGUAAGAUUAGCUAGUUGGUGAGGUAACGGCUCACCAAGGCGGCGAUCUUUAACUGGUCUGAGAGGAUGAUCAGUCACACUGGAACUGAGACACGGUCCAGACUCCUACGGGAGGCAGCAGUAGGGAAUAUUGCACAAUGGAGGAAACUCUGAUGCAGCGACGCCGCGUGAGUGAUGAAGGCCUUCGGGUCGUAAAGCUCUGUCGCAGGGGAAUAACACAAUGAAUGUACCCUGUAAGAAAGGAUCGGCUAACUUCGUGCCAGCAGCCGCAGUAAGAC